AUUGAACGCUGGCGGCAGGCCUAACCCAUGCAAGUCGAACGAGUGGCGGACGGGUGAGUAAUGUCUGGGAAACUGCCCGAUGGAGGGGGAUAACUACUGGAAACGGUAGCUAAUACCGCAUACCAUCGGAUGUGCCCAGAUGGGAUUAGCUAGUAGGGGGGGUAAUGGCUCACCUAGGCGACGAUCCCUAGCUGGUCUGAGAGGAUGACCGGCCACACUGGAACUGAGACACGGUCCAGACUCCUACGGGAGGCAGCAGUGGGGAAUAUUGCACAAUGGGCGCAAGCCUGAUGCAGCCAUGCCGCGUGUAUGAAGAAGGCCUUCGGGUUGUAAAGUACUUUCAGCGAGGAGGCGUUACCCGCAGAAGAAGCACCGGCUAACUCCGUGCCAGCAGCCGCGGUAAUAC
rnacentral:rRNA from 1 species